rnacentral:rRNA from 1 species
GAUGAACGCUGGCGGCGUGCUUAACACAUGCAAGUCGAACGAUGAAGCCCAGCUUGCUGGGUGGAUUAGUGGCGAACGGGUGAGUAACACGUGAGUAACCUGCCCUUAACUCUGGGAUAAGCCUGGGAAACUGGGUCUAAUACCGGAUAGGAGCGUCCACCGCAUGGUGGGUGUUGGAAAGAUUUAGCGGUUUUGGAUGGACUCGCGGCCUAUCAGCUUGUUGGUGAGGUAAUGGCUCACCAAGGCGACGACGGGUAGCCGGCCUGAGAGGGUGACCGGCCACACUGGGACUGAGACACGGCCCAGACUCCAACGGGAGGCAGCAGUGGGGAAUAUUGCACAAUGGGCGCAAGCCUGAUGCAGCGACGCCGCGUGAGGGAUGACGGCCUUCGGGUUGUAAACCUCUUUCAGUAGGGAAGAAGCGAAAGUGACGGUACCUGCAGAAGAAGCACCGGCUAACUACGUG